AAAAAAGGGGGGGAAAGAAAAGGGGGGAAAUAAAUUGAAGAGAGAGAAACACCUCCUUCUUCCUCCUUCUUCCUCAAUUUCUGAAGAACAUUCUGAAUUUCUUAUCUCCUCACCAUUUUUGCAGAAAAUCAAUUAUUCAAGCAUUAUGCAAGAGAUAAGGAGUAAUUAUCUUCUAAAGAUGAGAAAUACGGAAGAGAAUGAUGGUUCCUUCUACUCCCUGGAUGUCCAUGAUGACACCUCCACAACAAAUUUCUAAGUGGGACAUGUUGGUGUUCAUGACGUUUAUAUUAUUAUCACGGUGUAUGGUUGGAUUCAUUGUUUUGUGAGGAACUUAUGUUGUAUUUUGCUUUUGGAUUCUCCCAUUUGGGGCAUUUUAUAUUGUAUUCCUAUUAAGUAUUAUGA